GACGUAGGAGGCGAGCGUUAUCCGGAUUCACUGGGCGUAAAGCGCAUGUAGGCGGUUGCACAAGUCCGUUGUUAAAGCCCCUGGCUCAACUGGGGGAGGUCAAUGGAGACUGUGCGACUUGAGGGCAAUAGAGGCACGUGGAACUCCCGGUGUAGCGGUGGAAUGCGUAGAGAUCGGGAAGAACACCAGUGGCGAAGGCGACGUGCUGGGUUGCACCUGACGCUGAGAUGCGAAAGUGUGGGGAGCGAACAGG
rnacentral:rRNA from 1 species